UACGUAGGGUCCAAGCGUUGUCCGGAAUUAUUGGGCGUAAAGAGCUCGUAGGCGGUGUGUCGCGUCGGAUGUGAAAGCCCGGGGCUUAACCCCGGGUCUGCAUUCGGUACGGGCAUGCUGGAGUUCGGUAGGGGAGACUGGAAUUCCUGGUGUAGCGGUGAAAUGCGCAGAUAUCAGGAGGAACACCGGUGGCGAAGGCGGGUCUCUGGGCCGAUACUGACGCUGAGGAGCGAAAGCGUGGGGAUCAAACAGG
rnacentral:rRNA from 1 species